rnacentral:rRNA from 1 species
UACGGAGGGUGCAAGCGUUAAUCGGAAUUACUGGGCGUAAAGCGCGCGUAGGCGGUUUUUUAAGUCGGAUGUGAAAGCCCCGGGCUCAACCUGGGAACUGCAUCCGAUACUGGAAGACUAGAAUGCGGGAGAGGGAGGUAGGAUUCCAUGUGUAGCAGUGAAAUGCGUAGAUAUAUGGAGGAAUACCAGUGGCGAAGGCGGCCUCCUGGCUCGACAUUGACGCUGAGGUGCGAAAGCGUGGGGAGCAAACGGG